rnacentral:ribozyme from 1 species
CAAGUCAUCGACCUCAUACGCAAUGGCACUUUCCAAGGUGGUCCCGACGACGACGAACAAGACGGCGAACAAGACGGCGAGUCUUCGGAGUCGUCGACGGAAAAAACUCCGAAA